rnacentral:rRNA from 1 species
GACGAACGCUGGCGGCGUGCUUAACACAUGCAAGUCGAGCGGCAAGGCCCUUUCGGGGGUACACGAGCGGCGAACGGGUGAGUAACACGUGGGUGACCUGCCCUCAGCUCUGGGAUAAGCCUGGGAAACCGGGUCUAAUACUGGAUAUGACUCCAUGACGCAUGUUGUGGGGUGGAAAGCCUUGUGCGGCUGAGGAUGGGCCCGCGGCCUAUCAGCUUGUUGGUGGGGUGAUGGCCUACUAAGGCGACGACGGGUAGCCGGCCUGAGAGGGCGACCGGCCACACUGGGACUGAGACACGGCCCAGACUCCUACGGGAGGCAGCAGUGGGGAAUCUUGCGCAAUGGGCGAAAGCCUGACGCAGCGACGCCGCGUGAGGGAUGACGGCC